rfam:Gossypium raimondii Chr13_contig_1351, whole genome shotgun sequence.
AGUUAAAAUAUUUAUCUAUUUUUACUGUUAAAAAUUGGCGUAGCUGACACAUGGCUUUGUCACAUGUACCUCAUGGCAAUGUACAAAGACCAGUUCUUAACGGUAGAAAUGGAUGAAUUUUUUAACA